GCCGGGCGCGGUGGCGCGCGCCUGUAGUCCCAGCUACUCGGGAGGCUGAGGCAGGAGGAUCGCUUGAGCCCAGGAGUUCUGGGCUGUAGUGCGCUAUGCGGAUCGGGUGUCCGCACUAAGUUCGGCAUCAAUAUGGUGACCUCCCGGGAGCGGGGGACCACCAGGUUGCCUAAGGAGGGGUGAACCGGCCCAGGUCGGAAACGGAGCAGGUCAAAACUCCCAUGCUGAUCAGUAGUGGGAUCGCGCCUGUGAAUAGCCACUGCACUCCAGCCUGGGCAACAUAGCGAGACCCCGUCU
rnacentral:SRP_RNA from 1 species